GAUGAACACUGGCGGCGUGCCUAAUACAUGCAAGUCGAGCGAACAGACGAGGAGCUUGCUCCUCUGACGUUAGCGGCGGACGGGUGAGUAACACGUGGAUAACCUACCUAUAAGACUGGGAUAACUUCGGGAAACCGGAGCUAAUACCGGAUAAUAUAUUGAACCGCAUGGUUCAAUAGUGAAAGACGGUUUUGCUGUCACUUAUAGAUGGAUCCGCGCCGCAUUAGCUAGUUGGUAGGGUAACGGCUUACCAAGGCAACGAUGCGUAGCCGACCUGAGAGGGUGAUCGGCCACACUGGAACUGAGACACGGUCCAGACUCCUACGGGGGGCAGCAGUAGGGAAUCUUCCGCAAUGGGCGAAAGCUUGACGGAGCAACGCCGCGUGAGUGAUGAAGGUCUUCGGAUCGUAAAACUCUGUUAUUAGGGAAGAACAAAUGUGUAAGUAACUAUGCACGUCUUGACGGUACCUAAUCAGAAAGCCACGGCUAACUACGUG
rnacentral:rRNA from 1 species